rnacentral:rRNA from 1 species
UACGUAGGGGGCAAGCGUUGUCCGGAUUUAUUGGGCGUAAAGAGCGUGUAGGCGGCUAGAUAGGUCCGCUGUGAAAACUCGAGGCUCAACCUCGAGAUGUCGGCGGAAACCACUUGGCUAGAGUCCGGAAGAGGAGAGUGGAAUUCCUGGUGUAGCGGUGAAAUGCGCAGAUAUCAGGAAGAACACCUAUGGCGAAGGCAGCUCUCUGGGACGGUACUGACGCUGAGACGCGAAAGCGUGGGGAGCGAACAGG